CACACUAUCAUUAACUGAAUCCAUAGGUUAAUGAGGCGAACCGGGGGAACUGAAACAUCUAAGUACCCCGAGGAAAAGAAAUCAACCGAGAUUCCCCCAGUAGCGGCGAGCGAACGGGGAGCAGCCCAGAGCCUGAAUCAGUGUGUGUGUUAGUGGAAGCGUCUGGAAAGGCGCGCGAUACAGGGUGACAGCCCCGUACACAAAAAUGCACAUA
rnacentral:rRNA from 1 species